CUACCCUUGACAUGCCAGGAACUUGCCAGAGAUGGCUUGGUGCUCGAAAGAGAACCUGGACACAGGUGCUGCAUGGCUGUCGUCAGCUCGUGUCGUGAGAUGUUGGGUUAAGUCCCGCAACGAGCGCAACCCUUGUCAUUAGUUGCUACGAAAGGGCACUCUAAUGAGACUGCCGGUGACAAACCGGAGGAAGGUGGGGAUGACGUCAAGUCCUCAUGGCCCUUAUGGGUAGGGCUACACACGUCAUACAAUGGCUGGUACAGAGGGUUGCCAACCCGCGAGGGGGAGCUAAUCCCAGAAAACCAGUCGUAGUCCGGAUUGCAGUCUGCAUCUCGACUGCAUGAAGUCGGAAUCGCUAGUAAUCGCGGAUCAGCUUGCCGCGGUGAAUACGUUCCC
rnacentral:rRNA from 1 species